rnacentral:rRNA from 1 species
UACGAAGGGGGCUAGCGUUGCUCGGAAUCACUGGGCGUAAAGCGCACGUAGGCGGGUUCUUAAGUCAGGGGUGAAAUCCUGGAGCUCAACUCCAGAACUGCCUUUGAUACUGGGAAUCUCGAGUCCGGGAGAGGUGAGUGGAACUGCGAGUGUAGAGGUGAAAUUCGUAGAUAUUCGCAAGAACACCAGUGGCGAAGGCGGCUCACUGGCCCGGUACUGACGCUGAGGAGCGAAAGCGUGGGGAGCAAACAGG